GAUGAACGCUAGCGGCAGGCCUAAUACAUGCAAGUCGAGGGGUAUGGGUUGCUUGCAACCCAGAGACCGGCGCACGGGUGCGUAACGCGUAUGCAAUCUACCUUAAUCAGGGGUAUAGCCCGGAGAAAUCCGGAUUAACACCGCAUAACAUUGAGUUGUGGCAUCACAGUUCAAUCAAAUAUUUAUAGGAUUAAGAUGAGCAUGCGUGACAUUAGUUAGUUGGUGAGGUAACGGCUCACCAAGACCACGAUGUCUAGGGGAUCUGAGAGGAUGACCCCCCACACUGGUACUGAGACACGGACCAGACUCCUACGGGAGGCAGCAGUAAGGAAUAUUGGUCAAUGGGCGCAAGCCUGAACCAGCCAUGCCGCGUGCAGGAAGACGGCCCUAUGGGUUGUAAACUGCUUUUGUACCGGAAUAAACCUCCUCUUGCGAGAGAAGCUGAACGUACGGUAAGAAUAAGGAUCGGCUAACUCCGUG
rnacentral:rRNA from 1 species